UACGUAGGGGGCAAGCGUUGUCCGGAUUUAUUGGGCGUAAAGAGCGUGUAGGCGGCUUGGUAGGUCCGCUGUGAAAACUCGAGGCUCAACCUCGAGAUGUCGGCGGAAACCACUUGGCUAGAGUCCGGAAGAGGAGAGUGGAAUUCCCGGUGUAGCGGUGAAAUGCGCAGAUAUCGGGAAGAACACCCAUGGCGAAGGCAGCUCUCUGGGACGGUACUGACGCUGAGACGCGAAAGCGUGGGGAGCGAACAGG
rnacentral:rRNA from 1 species